rnacentral:rRNA from 1 species
AGAGUUUGAUCCUGGCUCAGAACGAACGCUGGCGGCAGGCUUAACACAUGCAAGUCGAACGGGCCCUUUCGGGGGUCAGUGGCAGACGGGUGAGUAACACGUGGGAACGUGCCUUUCAGUUCGGAAUAACCCAGGGAAACUUGGGCUAAUACCGGAUACGCCCUUUGGGGGAAAGAUUGAUCGCUGAAAGAGCGGCCCGCGUCUGAUUAGCUAGUUGGUAGGGUAAUGGCCUACCAAGGCGACGAUCAGUAGCUGGUCUGAGAGGAUGAUCAGCCACACUGGGACUGAGACACGGCCCAGACUCCUACGGGAGGCAGCAGUGGGGAAUAUUGGACAAUGGGCGCAAGCCUGAUCCAGCCAUGCCGCGUGAGUGAUGAAGGCCCUAGGGUUGUAAAGCUCUUUCGGCGGGGACGAUAAUGACGGUACCCGCAGAAGAAGCCCCGGCUACUUCGUGCCAGCAGCCGCGGUAAUACGAAGGGGGCUAGCGUUGUUCGGAAUCACUGGGCGUAAAGGGCGCGUAGGCGGCCAGAUAAGUCGGGGGUGAAAGCCUGUGGCUCAACCACAGAAUUGCCUUCGAUACUGUUUGGCUUGAGACCGGAAGAGGACAGCGGAACUGCGAGUGUAGAGGUGAAAUUCGUAGAUAUUCGCAAGGACACCAGUGGCGAAGGCGGCUGUCUGGUCCGGUUCUGNNNNUGAGGCGCGAAAGCGUGGGGAGCAAACAGGAUUAGAUACCCUAGUAGUCC